CAUACCAAUGAAAAAGUCGAGGGAAAAUUAUUGUCAUCUCUUCAGCUGCUGGACGUUUCCAUAGUCCGAAGAGCAAGCAUAUACGGUGCUAGCAAAGCAGCCUUAAUAAGCCUGUAUGAAUCACUGAGGAUUGAAUUUGGUUCAGAUAUUGGAAUAACAAUUGUGAAUCCUGGGCUUGUGAAGUCAGAAAUUACCGCAGGCGAGCUACGAUCAAAGGUUAAAAUAGAAAGCAUCCCAAUUGAAUCAACAGAGGAUUGUGCUAAAGCAAUUGUGGACAGCGCUUGCCGUGGAGACAGGCACUUGGUGGAGCCAUCAUGGGUAGGGAUAGGUUUCCUGUUCAAGGUGCUCUGUCCUAAAGUCCCAUGGAAUGAUGUGCCCACUGGCUAUUCUCCUCCGCACCUAGGAAUUUCAAGAAGGCUGCAUAGGAGAGGCCUACUUCCAGUAUGCAUGAGAAAAU